rnacentral:rRNA from 2 species
UGCAUAUUCAAAAAGCGGAGGAAAAGAAACCAACAGGGAUUGCCUUAGUAACGGCGAGUGAAGCGGCAAGAGCUCAAAUUUGAAAUCUAGCACUUUCAGUGUUCGAGUUGUAAUUUGAAGAAGGUAUCUUUGGAGUUGGCCCCUGUCUAUGUUCCUUGGAACAGGACGUCACAGAGGGUGAGAAUCCCGUGCGAUGGGGAGACCAAUUCUUUGUAAAGUUCCUUCGAAGAGUCGAGUUGUUUGGGAAUGCAGCUCUAAGUGGGUGGUAAAUUCCAUCUAAAGCUAAAUAUUGGCGAGAGACCGAUAGCGAACAAGUACAGUGAUGGAAAGAUGAAAAGAACUUUGAAAAGAGAGUGAAAAAGUACGUGAAAUUGUUGAAAGGGAAGGGCUUUUGAUCAGACUUGGUGUUUAACGAUCUCUUCUCCUUGUGGGAGGGGCUCUUGUUUUAUACUGGGCCAGCAUCGGUUUGGAUGGCAGGAUAAUGACAUUGGAACGUGGCUUCAUUCGUGAAGUGUUAUAGCCUUUGUUGAUACUGCCUAUCUAGACCGAGGACUGCGUCUUGACUAGGAUGCUGCGUGUGUGAGGCG